rnacentral:lncRNA from 1 species
CAAUAAGGCUAUGUAAGAAACAACCACAAAACGCAGUGGCUUACAGCAAUAAGCAUUUAUGUAAGUCGUGAGUGUGUGGGUCAGGUGGAGAGUUCAGGUCCCAGGGAGACUCUCAUUUGUGUGCACUCCGUUAGCAGAGUGACUUUGCUCAUCUUGGCUGGGCUCUCUCACGUAUCUGGGACCUCAGCUUGGGUCUGUGUGGUCUCUCAUCCUAGCAGCUAGCCCAGGUUUGGGCUCAUGCCCAAGGCAGCAUUCCAAGAGAGGGAGUGAAGCGCGCGGGGCCGCUGGAUGCCUAGGCUUGGAUACGGCAUGCCACUCCUUUUGCUUCAUUUUAUGGGUCACAGCAAGUCAGAAGGCCAGUCCAGAGGCAAGAAGUGGGGACGCAGACUCUACUGCUUGAUAAGGAGAGCUACAAUUCAGAGUUAAGAGGAUAGCUACACAGGGGAAUAGGUGGGUCUACUUUUGCAACCAAAUGCUGUAAUUUUAGAUUGACCCAGACUCUUUGACUCUUAGUAAGAGUAUGCAAAUUCCAGGGCACACUAGAAGUGGGUCUUGAUUUUAAUGCUGUCACCUUCGGGAGACAACUGGGCUGCAAACCAUAGCCACUCUUCGUUAUUUGCACAUCAGUCACCCAAGGCGAAUGUUUCAAAUGUGGAGCUCUGUCCCCUCCUGGCUCCUUGUUGGUGGGGUUUCUGACAGGGAUCCUGAACAGGACUCUGAAAUGGCCGUUUACAGAGAAACGUGUGGUAGGGGGAUGCUGACCAGAGGCCCAGCCCACUUCUCCCCCUGCUGCCUGUGUUAAUCGACAUGAGCCCUGCAGAGUGACAGUGGCUCCCUUAGUGGGAGGUAGGAGGUUAGAUUAGGUGUUGGGAUCAGUCAGGCUGGCGAGGAAGCUAGUCUGAAGAGGGAAACCAGCUAGCUAUAAGUCUGGGCCACAGAGCCCAGGCAGGCAGGGAUCACUGCCAUGAGGGGGCCCCACCCAAGGAAGAGCAGCUGCUCGCUCUAGGAAGCUGUAUAGACUCAGGCUAUGGGGCGGGAGGGGAGACUCAGGUGCUCCCACUCUAGGGAAGACUGCCUGGUGUUAAACUGCCAGAGUUCAUUUUAGAAGCUCUGCUUUCCACAGGAGAAACUGGGCCUCCUCACCCAUGUAUGUGGCCGUGCCAGGGGGCUCAGGUGGGGCUGUGUCUUGACUGCAAAGGGAGCUGCUGGCUCUGGGGGUAAAUUGCCUACAGUGGCCACUUUCUCCUAGGCCUUACUUGCCCCUUCACGUUGGGGAGACCGAUUUUCCUACUUCUAUGUAAAUAUGUUAAGGGUUUACUUUCCAAGCUCCAACCAGGAUUCUAAAGAAGCAGCCAAUAACGCUUUGCUAUUUCAGGGUGUAGCCGUGCAAAUAAAUCCUCUUUCAGAAGUCAAAAGCAGUUUCUCGAAGUGUUAAUUGUGCUUUGCACGUAGUUGGUUCUCAUAAAUGUGUGGCAAAUUAAUGACAAUAGAUCAAUUAUCAUCCUGAAAGUAAGUGAUAUCUAGAUAUAAAAAGACACCCUUUCCUACGAUGUGAGGACAUGGUAAUUUUCUUAUA